rnacentral:rRNA from 1 species
GGGCCCGCAUGACCUUCCGGAAGGGGUGCCUGCGGAAGGAUCAUUACCGAGUGCGGGCCCCUCGGGGCCCAACCUUCCCACCCGUGUUGCCCGAACCUAUGUUGCCUCGGCGGGCCCCGCGCCCGCCGACGGCCCCCCUGAACGCUGUCUGAAGUUGCAGUCUGAGACCUAUAACGAAAUUAGUUAAAACUUUCAACAACGGAUCUCUUGGUUCCGGCAUCGAUGAAGAACGCAGCGAAAUGCGAUAACUAAUGUGAAUUGCAGAAUUCAGUGAAUCAUCGAGUCUUUGAACGCACAUUGCGCCCUCUGGUAUUCCGGAGGGCAUGCCUGUCCGAGCGUCAUUGCUGCCCUCAAGCCCGGCUUGUGUGUUGGGCCCCGUCCCCCCCGCCGGGGGGACGGGCCCGAAAGGCAGCGGCGGCACCGCGUCCGGUCCUCGAGCGUAUGGGGCUUCGUCACCCGCUCUAGUAGGCCCGGCCGGCGCCAGCCGACCCCCAACCUUUAAUAUCUCAGGUGACCUCGGAUCAGGUAGGGAUCCCCGG